AGAGGAGUGGAGGCUAUCUCGCAUCACCUAUUCCUGCAGGCUUCAACUCAUCUGGUGAUGCAACGGGAGCCUUCUAGGCUUAAGAGCCGGCAUCUUCCCUCAUGUCCAUUCAAGCUCUCGUCUUUCUCACCAGCACUGCACAGGAGCACAUCAGGAUGCCCGCUGAGGUAAAGGUCUCUGCGCGGAAUUUCAGUUUUCAGCCCCGUGCAUCAGAGCUUACUGAAAACUCCUGACAUGAAACACCGGAACAAGACCGAAGGCGAGGUGCAGUGACGUUAUCUCCUGUCUAUCUCACACCGUGAUCUUGCACUUUCUUCUGCAGCAGCCCAGGCUGCCGGCUUGCAGCACCUUGACACGCAAUACCUGCUCAUCAUCAGCCACAUCUCUGACCUUAUACAAUCCCAAGGCAAGGUCAUCGAGAUCAAAGUCCAGCCAACCUGAUGCAGUGAAGAGUGGUUAGCUGGAGACGGGAAGCACAUUGCCCUGCUCAAAGGGCAAGGCACAGCCUUCCAGAUCUCACCUGACUUUUGGAUUAAGGAAGAAGUAGUGAGUAGGAAAAACAGCAAGGCUUGGCUAAGGAUGCACAAAACUUGUGGUUCUUUGUUAACCAGCUGAAGUGACCCAAGGUUCACAAAUCACCACCCCUCCUCCUCGGCAGUGCUCAGGAGGUGGCUGGACGUGGGAAGGAUCCCAGAGACACCAAGACCAAGCUGCUGCCUGCGUCUUGUCUGCUUCAGAUUGCCCUGUGCACAGCAGGGCAUGGUGCAAAGGGGCUUGGAGAGGGAAGGACACUCACGUGCUGCGAAGUGCCUGCAGUGCUCAGACAGCAGCAUGAAAGAAAUAUCCCUUUACCAGAUAAUCUUUACAGUCCCUUCCAACCCAAACCUUCCUUCACUGCUCCCCUGUACAACCCAAGUGCACGCUACAGCAAUCCUCCGUGGCUCAGCUGGGAGGCUGAAGUACAGGACUGACUCCUCCUGCCUCCAACCCACCUCUGCCAGCCCCCAAGCACCAGCAGCUGCUCCUCCUGCCAGCAUCAAGCCCGGUCCGCUCAGCCAAUGCUCCCAGAGCUUCCUGCUCCCCUGCCCACGCCCCGCUGCACCCACAGGGAGCGCGUCACCCAGCAACAUCCCCAUUGCCAGCCCCGCAGGAGGAGGAAGGAGGAAGCCAGGCUGCAGAGACACAAAACCAGGGCAGAACUGCCUGCGAGAGAGCCAGACAGGCUGGCAGGGAAGGACAGCUUUGCUGAGCCCCGGAGAAAAUGGUUUGAGUAAUUAUUAACGCCUGCCGCUAUGUGGCCAGGAAGAUGGGGACCCUGUGCUGCCAGCAGCCCCAGGAGCCACCACCCAGCCCGGAGCAGGCAGCCCCACGGAGAGAUCACCAAAAUGUAAACGCGGUGGUAUCAGCACCCCCCAAAGCCACAGCCUCACUUUCCACAAACAACGAUGUGGCCCAAGCCCAGCCCUGCAGGUCCUGAGGGUAACGGCCCUCGUGGUCCUCUCCUGAAGGCCACGAGCUGCCUCCCCACCGGCCUCCCAAGGGAUCUGCAUGCUGGGAAUCCUGCAGCCCUGGGAUUGGGUAAAAUCAGCAAAUCCCUCCUGUACCUGCUCUCGGCACAGAAGCACAAUGACAGAGAACAUCCCCAUCGGUCUCCCUACCAGAAAUUGCCAGAUGGCAGAAAAGAUGUGUACCAACGUGCACCAGGUGCUCCUGGCACUUCUGGGCCCUGAGGAAGAGCACAAGCCAAUGCAUUCCACCAGCAAAUCAGAUUUUUAUGCUGUGAAACCAAGCUGUGCUCCUGAUGACAUCACUCUACCUUCAGACCACUUCCAACAAGGUAAAAUCAGCUCAGGAGCUGGAACGUGGAGUCCGAGAGCCUGGCCCUGUGGAAAUCCCACGAAGUUUUGAACACCCCCCGUGCCCAACAAGCCGGUGACCCAGCACAAUGCGCAGCACACCGAGGCAGAGGGGCUGCAGGGACCACUGCCACAUCCCCCCACCAGCAAACCCCACGCCGUCACAGAGCAAUGAGGGCGGAAUUGCAAAGCCCACCCCUGUGGGGGAGAUUCUGCCUGAUCCCUUCCUGUGACAGCCCCGGCUGAGCCAGAAAUAAAGGUGGAUGGAAGGAAACUG